AGAACAUGCAGCAAACAGCCAGAGGUCAGUAUCAAACCGUGGGCCGCUGCAGCUCUGAGCCUUUGUACAUGGGGCACAUGCUCCACCAGCUACAAGGCAUCCUGUGUCAGCAUUUCUAAAGGGGAGUUAAGAUCCUGAGUCCACAUCUCUGAAGCCCGGAGCUGAUCGGACCUUCACCGUUACCCCUGCAUGGCUGGCCGUGCUGUGAGUGUCCGCUGCCAUCUGCCGGAUUACUCAGCAGGCCCCCCCACACCCCCUCAUCUUCUCACUGUUCUAGAAACCGAGACCUUCACGGUGCCAUGAAAGAGGAGCUCAUGCCAUGAUGUCUGCUGCUGAUUUAUUUUCUGUGCCCAGCAUGAAGAAAACAUUUCCUCGUAGGCGCGAUGGCGUCCCCCUUUUUCCUCGGCCUAACGGGAUUAGUCGUGCCAGUGCUACCCCGGCUGUCACGGUACUGUCUACUUCCCAUCUCUCUUCUGGGCCUCUAAUGUGAUUAACCCAUUCCCUGUGGUCCAAAUGGUUCUGGACGGGAGGAGGGGGGCACCUCCUUGGCAUGUUCCUCCCCAUGCCUGACUCGCUAUCAUUGGCAAACAUGUCAGGAAGGAAAGGCUAAGGUCGAAGACGGCGGCCCUGAAUAUUUACUGCUUUCUUAAGUGGAGACAAUAAUGAUGCCGACGCCCAUCAUCCUGUCAAAUGUCAGCUCCGCCUGUUUAACACACGUCACGCUCAUUUUAGACUCAUCUGUAGCAAGUUUUCUUCAGGGCUUCGGAGGCAGCAUGGGACCGCAUGGCCCCAGAAACCAGAGAUCUGCAACAAAACUCUGAGCUGAGAUUACUUUUACUUUUUACAUGUAUGACAAAGUGCAGUUACUGUAGCUUUUCAGUAUGAUGAGAAAAAUUCAUGAACAUGUGCAAACUAAUCAUUUGCUAAUAAACAAAAGUCUUU